rnacentral:rRNA from 1 species
CAGUCGCCGCGGUAAUACGAAGGGGGCUAGCGUUGCUCGGAAUCACUGGGCGUAAAGGGUGCGUAGGCGGGUCUUUAAGUCAGGGGUGAAAUCCUGGAGCUCAACUCCAGAACUGCCUUUGAUACUGAAGAUCUUGAGUUCGGGAGAGGUGAGUGGAACUGCGAGUGUAGAGGUGAAAUUCGUAGAUAUUCGCAAGAACACCAGUGGCGAAGGCGGCUUACUGACUCGAAACUGACGCUGAGGCGCGAAAGCGUGGGGAGCAAACAGGAUUAGAUACCCCCGUAGUCCCUGUCUCUUAUAC